GCAAGCACAGUCACAGACCAUAAAGAGAAGUCAAGAGCCAGCAUAGACAGGAGAGAUAAAUCAAGAAAGAGUAUAGAUCGCCCUGAGAAGGCAUAUCAUGGAGCAGAUAUACCUGAAAAAGCUAGAAAUAGUAUUGACCGCUUUGGGGAGAUGGUGAGAUCUGUUGGAUUGUGCAACAUCGAUUGUUUCAGGCCCACAGCCACUCAUGCAUAAAGAAGAUGGUGGAGCGUAUGCAUAGCUUGUAUUUUUCUCAUUAAUUAUUUCAUUGGUUGCCUUUGCCAAGGUCCGUGCCCUUGCCUUGGAAAGAGCUGCCAGGAGUCAACAAAGAUGACCCGUUUUUUAUAUCAACUCAAGAGUCAAUAAAUGAACUGAGAAAACUAGCAGAUGGUACUAUUUACCUUUGUUCGUAUACUGAUUUGAGGACUGACAUACAUACUACAACUACAUGUUCUUGUUCUGGUUUUGCCUUUGGCGAUGAGGACAAAGAAGAGAGACAGUGAGGGGCAUGAAAGUUGUGUCUAUUUCAAUCGGUAUAAAGUUGGUUUCUCCAACAAAGCUUGUAUUUACCUGACUUGAACACUUUGGAGUGGCCUUUAAUUUCGUUGUUU